rnacentral:rRNA from 1 species
GAUGAACGCUGGCGGCGUGCCUAAUACAUGCAAGUCGAGCGAACGGACGAGAAGCUUGCUUUUCUGAUGUUAGCUGCGGACGGGUGAGUAACACGUGGAUAACCUACCUAUAAGACUGGGAUAACUUCGGGAAACCGUAGCUAAUACCGGAUAAUAUUUUGAACCGCAUGGUUCAAAAGUGAAAGACGGUCUUGCUGUCACUUAUAGAUGGAUCCGCUCUGCAUUAGCUAGUUGGUAAGUUAACGGCUAACCAAGGCAACGAUCCAUAGCGGACCUGAGAGGGUGGUCGCCCACACUGGAACUGAGACACGGUCAAGACUCCUACGGGAGGCAGCAGUAGGGAAUCUUCCGCAAUGGGCGAAAGCCUGACGGAGCAACGCCGCGUGAGUGAUGAAGGUCUUCGGAUCGUAAACCUCUGUUAUUAGGGAAGAACAUAUGUGUAAUUAACUGUGCACACCUUGACGGUACCUAAUCAGAAAGCCACGGCUAACUACGUG